rnacentral:tRNA from 1 species
GGUGGCUUAAUGGUAGAGUGCUUGCCUUGCAUGCAUGAGGCCCUGGGUUCGAUUCCUCAGCACCA